GGCGUCGGUAGUACAACGGUUCACCACGUGCUCCGGGAGAGAGUGAAAUGUGGGUUUGAAUCCCACCUGACCCA